GUGCUCGCUUCGGCAGCACAUGUACUAAAAUUGGAACGAUACAGAGUUUAGCAUGGCCCCUGCACAAGAAUGACAUUCAAAUUCGUGAAGCGUUCCCAAAAAAA